rnacentral:lncRNA from 1 species
AGACAUAGAAAACUUUCCCAGGAAAAACUUUGAUCUCAAAAAGAAAAUAAAUGAAGAACAGGAAAAUAAUUUUAACAUAUAAAGAACUUUUUAAACAGUGCCUAUCAAGUAAGAAAGAAAAAAAAAAACUUCUUUUUGAAGCAAUGCACAAGAAAAACUACCAAGCAGAGAAGAGUCCAGUUACACCGAGAAUGUUUUAUAACAAUUAGAUAUGACGCUUCUACUAAGCAAUGGACAGAUGCUUUUACAAUUCUUACUCUUGUGAAGCAACAUGAAUAGGUGAAUCAAAACAGAAGCUAAUGAAAGGCAAAAGAAACUUCCAGCCAAACUCAAACCUCCCACAGCUAUCUUCUUCAGUAUCUUCUUCCAAGUCCGAACUCAAAAAAUGCAGUCAAUGGAGCAGAAAAUGAGCAUCUUUUAGACCAAAUUUACUGCAACUGUUGCCUUUGGCAGAGUAUUAGGAACAGGAGGAAAAUUUCAAACUUGGAUUAGGACUCUUUCAGAAAGAGUCAAAGAUCCAGGCAGAACAUGAAUGGUUGAACAGAGCCAUAAAUCUUCACAUAUGGGAGCUCAAAGGAAUAAACAAUGAAAAUAAUUCAUGAAAGAAAAUUUACCCAAUGCUAAAUGAAUGAUAUUCACUACUAUCUUCUUUGAAGAGGUAGCUUUAAUGUAGUGUAGAAGACUUGUAAACUGUAUAAACAAAAGUCUGCUACUGUGAAAAUCCAACAGCAUUAUAAAAGUUGGAGAGAUGGCAAAAAAGGAAACUACCACAAACUGCCACUGAGUAUAUAGGAUAGAGAAUAGUAUGAGCCCAGAAAUAAAGACUUUGUUUAUUUUUCCUUGAGUAUAGAUAUAUUUUGUACAAUACUGUGACUUCAAAGAGUUUGAUUUGUACCUGAAACAAUACAAAUUAUUCUCAUAGUAAAAAUGAAAACUAAUUUGAAGCCGAUUGUAAACAACCAAAUAUAUUUCAAUGAGAUCAAACCUUCUAAUACGUAUGACCUUAACUAGUAAAAAUCUCUCUGGUACAUAGAACAGUAUUUGAGAGGUCAAAAUCACUGAUUUGGAUCUAUAAAAAUGUAUAAAUGAUGAC